rnacentral:rRNA from 1 species
UACGAAGGGGGCUAGCGUUGUUCGGAAUUACUGGGCGUAAAGCGCACGUAGGCGGACAUUUAAGUCAGGGGUGAAAUCCCAGAGCUCAACUCUGGAACUGCCUUUGAUACUGGGUGUCUAGAGUAUGGAAGAGGUGAGUGGAAUUCCCAGUGUAGCGGUGAAAUGCGUAGAUAUUGGGAGGAACACCAGUGGCGAAGGCGGCUCACUGGACCGGAACUGACGCUGAGGCGCGAAAGCGUGGGGAGCAAACAGG